rnacentral:pre_miRNA from 1 species
CUAAGAAGAAGUAUGGGGUUGGUACGUUUGCCUACGUUUGCCGCUAGGGGCGCUGUUCCAACUGCAGACAAAUUUGAGUUA